rnacentral:piRNA from 1 species
GACAAGAACUGCCUCAUUGGAUUUUUUGAA